AUAUAGCCCUCAAUGGCAUAAAAGUGGUGUAUUUGUUAGACCCGGAUUUUAUAGCUUAGUUUUAUGAAAGCAUAAAGAUACGCUGUGGCAGUUGUCGUAUUCACUUUACCAGUCUACAAAGCAGAAGGGCUACAAGACGUACCUCUCUACGACUCCAGGUUUCCGCUUGAUCUGCAAGACCCUAAGCGAGCUGUUAUCUACCAUGUAUUCUACCUUCCUUCUUUUCGCCUUGCUCGCGGUACUACCCGCCAUCUACCGUUGUGAAGAUAUUUCCUACCAGCCAGUGGAUGUUGUUCACGGCAACUGCGUCUACAAGCACACCUCCAUACCAGACAGUCAAGCGCAUCAGAUGACGUUCGACGAGUGCGCACUGGUUACAUGCACCGCCAAGUUAAGGCGCGUUGAAAUCAAGAAAUGCUCCGUCCGUGCUGGCUGCUACCCACCCGCAGGCGGGCUCUACCCUCAAUGCUGCACCAGCGUCAUUUGUAGCCGAUAGCAUAGCGUGGCAGUUAUGUGAGAAAUAAAAGGACAUCGCAUACAAGCAAA